CAAUAGCGUAUAUUAAAGUUGUUGCGGUAAAAAAGCUCGUAGUUGGAUUUCUACCGAAGAUAGCCGGUCGGGUCUUCGACCUUGUAUCUGGUUUUGUCUUUGGUAUCCUCAUAGGGAACGUUUCUGCGCUUUAUUGCGUGGUGCGGUAUCUAUGACUUUUACUUUGAGGAAAUUAGAGUGUUCACGGCAGGCAAACGCCUUGAAUAUAUUAGCAUGGAAUAAUAACAUAGGAUCUUCGUCCUAUUUUGUUUGUUUCUAGGGCUAAGAUAAUGAUUAAUAGGGAUAAUUGGGGGCAUCUGUAUCAACGCGUCAGAGGUGGAAUUCUUGGAUUGCGUUGCGACAAACUACUGCGAAAGCAUUUGCCAAGGAUGUUUUCAUUGA
rnacentral:rRNA from 1 species